UAUGAAGCAAAACAACCCAGUUCAACAUCUAUGCCUCCAGUAAUGUCAUCAUACUACUGAGCGUGGUGUGCCCAGUUUCCUCCAAAAUCCCAGACUAGAUUGUACGGCUCCUCUUCUUCUAUCUAAUUUGGGUUCUACUAAAAAAUGAAAGGGGCACUAUAGUGUUAGGAACACAAACAUGUAUUCCUGAUACUGUAGUUCUAAAACCAUCGUUUAGCCAGUCAGCUCCCCUUACCUUGGG